GAACCCACCCAGCCACAUCUAAGACACGGCCUUAAGGGGUCCCUGUCCUAUAAGAAAACGGGGAGGGGGGCGCGCGCGCAAAGCGAAAGAAUUCGGUCCGGGCUGAAAAAUCGGGCUCAGUUUGCUCGAGGAAAGCAAAAGGCAACUGAAGAUGAAGUGGGGACAAACGGGCGUCUCGCAAAGAGCUCGACGCACCUGCGCCAGCUUUGUAUAGUGCAACCCUAUGAAGAAAGGCCCUCUUGAAUAAUUUGGUUUCUCACAGUUUGAAGAAAGCCAGGAGAUUGGGAGCCUUUCUAACUUCCUCUGAACAUCUGGAAUCCGGUUCAUACAAACAAAAAUCAUUUUCAGAACUCGAGAGCUUCUUCUGAUGAACAUAAAUCUUUUGCCUAGAACAGUAACAAUGAACACACAAAUUAUUAUAUAAGGAGAGCCAUAUGUGCCAGAUCAGCUGAGAUUUUCAGCCAAACAGGCCCUUGGGAAACUGCAAUAGGCAGACCACAUCACUUGCUCACUUUUUGAUACACUACUUCAUCCAUCAACAACUACUAAAUGCGUCCAUAGCAGAGAGCAGGUGCUUCCAGCUACAGUUUUCACAUGUGAAUCAACUGCAAUAAGUAGCAGCACAAGAAUUUCUAUUUAGAAUUAAUGCUGUACAAAA